rnacentral:rRNA from 1 species
CCUGAUCCAGCAAUGCCGCGUGGAUGAAGAAGGUCUUCGGAUUGUAAAGUCCUUUUGGCGGGGACGAUGAUGACGGUACCCGCAGAAUAAGCUCCGGCUAACUUCGUGCCAUCAGCCGCGGUAAUACGAAGGGGGCUAGCGUUGCUCGGAAUGACUGGGCGUAAAGGGCGCGUAGGCGGACGGCACAGUCAGGCGUGAAAUUCCUGGGCUCAACCUGGGGACUGCGUCUGAGACGUGUUGUCUUGAGUAUGGAAGAGGGUUGUGGAAUUUCCAGYGUAGAGGUGAAAUUCGUAGAUAUUGGAAAGAACACCGGUGGCGAAGGCGGCAACCUGGUCCAUUACUGACGCUGAKGCGCCGAAAGCGUGGGGAGCAAACAGGAUUAGAUACCCUGGUAGUCCACGCUGUAAACGAUGUGUGCUGGAUGYUGGGGUGCUUABCACUUCAUUGUCG